GACGAACGCUGGCGGCGUGCCUAAUACAUGCAAGUCGAACGCUUCUUUCCUCCCGAGUGCUUGCACUCAAUUGGAAAGAGGAGUGGCGGACGGGUGAGUAACACGUGGGUAACCUACCCAUCAGAGGGGGAUAACACUUGGAAACAGGUGCUAAUACCGCAUAACAGUUUAUGCCGCAUGGCAUAAGAGUGAAAGGCGCUUUCGGGUGUCGCUGAUGGAUGGACCCGCGGUGCAUUAGCUAGUUGGUGAGGUAACGGCUCACCAAGGCCACGAUGCAUAGCCGACCUGAGAGGGUGAUCGGCCACACUGGGACUGAGACACGGCCCAGACUCCUACGGGAGGCAGCAGUAGGGAAUCUUCGGCAAUGGACGAAAGUCUGACCGAGCAACGCCGCGUGAGUGAAGAAGGUUUUCGGAUCGUAAAACUCUGUUGUUAGAGAAGAACAAGGACGUUAGUAACUGAACGUCACCCGACGGUAUCUAACCAGAAAGACACGGCUAACUACGUG
rnacentral:rRNA from 1 species